rnacentral:rRNA from 1 species
GAACGCGAAGAACCUUACCUACCCUUGACAUCCAGAGAAUCUGUUAGAGAUAGCGGAGUGCCUUCGGGAACUCUGAGACAGGUGUUGCAUGGCGGUGGUCAGCUCGUGUCUUGAGAUGUUGGGUUAAGUCCCGUAACGAGCGCAACCCUUAUCCUUAGUUGCCAGCAGGUGAUGGGGGGAACUCUAGGGAGACUGCCGGUGAUAACCCGGAGGAAGGUGGGGAGGACGUCAAGUCAUCAUGGCCCUUAUGGCUAGGGCUCCCCACUUGCUACAAUGGCCGGUACAGAGGGCAGCGAACUCCGGAAAGGAAGCAAAUCCCAAAAACCCGGUCCAAGUCCGGAUUGGAGUCUGCAACUCGCCUCCAUGAAGUCGGAAUCGUUGGUAUUCGCGAAUCAGACCU